UACGUAGGGUCCAAGCGUUGUCCGGAUUUAUUGGGCGUAAAGAGCGUGUAGGCGGCCAAGCAGGUCCGCUGUGAAAACUCGAGGCUCAACCUCGAGACGUCGGUGGAAACCGUUUGGCUAGAGUCCGGAAGAGGAGAGUGGAAUUCCCGGUGUAGCGGUGAAAUGCGCAGAUAUCGGGAAGAACACCCGUGGCGAAGGCGGCUCUCUGGGACGGUACUGACGCUGAGACGCGAAAGCGUGGGGAGCGAACAGG
rnacentral:rRNA from 1 species